rnacentral:rRNA from 1 species
AAUAGAUACCCCGGUAGUCCAUGCCGUAAACGAUGUCUACUAGCCGUUGGGGCCUUUGAGGCUUUAGUGGCGCAGCUAACGCGAUAAGUAGACCGCCUGGGGAGUACGGUCGCAAGACUAAAACUCAAAUGAAUUGACGGGGGCCCGCACAAGCGGUGGAGCAUGUGGUUUAAUUCGAUGCAACGCGAAGAACCUUACCUGGUCUUGACAUAGUAAGAACUUUCCAGAGAUGGAUUGGUGCCUUCGGGAACUUACAUACAGGUGCUGCAUGGCUGUCGUCAGCUCGUGUCGUGAGAUGUUGGGUUAAGUCCCGCAACGAGCGCAACCCUUUUCCUAUUUGCCAGCGGGUUAAGCCGGGAACUUUAAGGAUACUGCCAGUGACAAACUGGAGGAGGCGGGGACGACGUCAAGUCAUCAUGGCCCUUACGACCAGGGCUACACACGUGCUACAAUGGUCGGUACAAAGGGUUGCUACCUAGCGAUAGGAUGCUAAUCUCAAAAAGCCGAUCGUAGUCCGGAUUGGAGUCUGCAACUCGACUCC